rnacentral:rRNA from 1 species
CCUACGGGGGGCAGCAGUGGGGAAUAUUGGACAAUGGGCGAAAGCCUGAUCCAGCCAUGCCGCGUGUGUGAAGAAGGCCUUCGGGUUGUAAAGCACUUUCAGUGGGGAAGAAAGCCUUGGGGCUAAUACCCUCGAGGAAGGACAUCACCCACAGAAGAAGCACCGGCUAACUCCGUGCCAGCAGCCGCGGUAAUACGGAGGGUGCGAGCGUUAAUCGGAAUUACUGGGCGUAAAGCGCGCGUAGGCGGUCUGAUAAGCCGGUUGUGAAAGCCCCGGGCUCAACCUGGGAACGGCAUCCGGAACGGUCAGGCUAGAGUGCAGGAGAGGAAGGUAGAAUUCCCGGUGUAGCGGUGAAAUGCGUAGAGAUCGGGAGGAAUACCAGUGGCGAAGGCAGCCUUCUGGACUGACACUGACGCUGAGGUGCGAAAGCGUGGGUAGCAAACAGGAUUAGAUACCCCGGUAGUC